UCCUCUGUCUGUCUUCCGAGGCUGGGAUUAAAGGCGUGUGCUAGCACCUGCAGUUUCAUCACCCACUCUUAAUCCUCCUCCCACCUCUGCCUGGUUCUGCUCUUUCUCCAGUCCUGCUCGCAUGCAUGUACUUGGGUGUGUGCAUAUAAAUACACGGAGUGAGAUAGAAUUUCAAUGCAAGAUUUUUAAAAAUCUUGAAAAAUUGCAUGAUUUGUAUAGAUAGUCUAGAUUUUUGUAUGUGAGAAAAACAGGUGGAACAUAUCAUUGGGAAUUUACUUUCUGUCAGCUAACAUGAUGGUCUCUGCCCCCAUGCAUUUUCCUGAAAAUGAAUAAAACCCCACUGUGUACGUGCCUUGUGCCCUUCAUCUGCUCGUUUGUGAUGGGCACCUGGGUAAUUGUGUAGCUAAGCUACUGUGAAUAGUGUUUCCGUAAACAUUGGGGUCAGCUACUCUGUGCUGUGUGACUUUGAUUUCUUUAUACGCUUAUAAAGUAUAGGCUCCCGGAUCAUGUUCCAUUUUUCUUCCUUUUAUCACGGGAUGUUCAUAUUGGCUUUCAGAGUGGCUAUGCCAAGCUACAGUCUCACCACAACUGUACGGGGUCUUGCUGUGUAGCCCUGGCUGCUUGGAACCCAUUCUACAGCCCAGGUUUAAAAAGAUCGUCACAAAAGAAGACAGAAACUGCCAGGUGGUGGCACACACCUUUGAUCCUAGCACUCAGGAGGCAGAGGAAGGUGGAUCUCUGUGAGUUCAAAGCCAGCCUGGUCUACGGAGGAG